GAAAGUCUUGUUGUUACUUUGUAUUGAAGUUACUCCUGUACUUUGUCUCCCUUCAUGGAGGGCAGGGACUAUUUGCACCCUAGGCAACUACUGCAGUGCAUAGCUCCAGGAUGUGUCUAGCAAAUGUUAUGGGAAUGAAAUGGAUACAUACUAAGAAGGAACUGAUGAUGUUGUAGGCCCUGAAGGCAUGGAGAAAUUUUGUGAAGACAUUGGUGUUGAACCAGAAAACGUAGUUAUGCUUGUCCUAGCUUGGAAAUUGGAUGCACAAAACAUGGGUUAUUUUACUCUACAGGAGUGGUUAAAAGGAAUGACUUCUCUCCAAUGUGAUACAACAGAAAAACUCAGAAAUACUUUGGAUUACUUAAGAUCAUUCUUAAAUGAUUCUACAAACUUUAAACUUAUUUACAGAUAUGCGUUUGACUUUGCACGGGAAAAGGACCAGCGCAGCCUAGACAUAAACACUGCCAAGUGCAUG
rnacentral:sRNA from 1 species